rnacentral:rRNA from 1 species
UACGUAGGGUGCAAGCGUUAUCCGGAAUUAUUGGGCGUAAAGAGCUCGUAGGCGGUUUGUCGCGUCUGCUGUGAAAACCCGAGGCUCAACCUCGGGCCUGCAGUGGGUAUGGGCAGACUAGAGUGCGGUAGGGGAGAUUGGAAUUCCUGGUGUAGCGGUGGAAUGCGCAGAUAUCAGGAGGAACACCGGUGGCGAAGGCGGGUCUCUGGGCCGGAUACUGACGCUGGAGGAGCGAAAGCGUGGGGAGCGAACAGG